GCUGGGUGUGGGGGUGCACACCUGUCAUCCCAGCAGCUUGGGAGGCUGAAGUGGGAGGAUGGCUAGUUGGAGGCCAGCCUCAGCAACUUAGCAAGGCCAUAAGCAACUCAGGGAGUCCUUGUCUCUAAAUAAAAUAUAAAAAGGGCUGGGGAUGGGGCUCGGGGUUAAGCAUCUCUGAGUUAGAUCCCUGGUAGCCCCCCCUAAAAAAAAGGAUUUCUCAGUCUUUCCUCUGUUUUGGGGGACAGCCUUGCAGUGCAGGUUGCUUGGCAGCAUUGCUGGCCUCUAACACUAGAGUCCCCCCACCA
rnacentral:sRNA from 1 species